AGUGGCGAACGGGUGAGUAAUGCAUCGGAACGUGCCCAGUAGUGGGGGAUAGCGGCGAAAGCCGGAUUAAUACCGCAUGAGACGUGAGGGUGAAAGCGGGGGAUCGCAAGAUCGCGCUACUGGAGCGGCCGAUGUCAGAUUAGCUAGUUGGUGGGGUAAAGGCCCACCAGCAACGAUCUGUAGUUGGUCUGAGAGGACGACCAGCCACACUGGGACUGAGACACGGCAGACUCCUACGGGAGGCAGCAGUGGGGAAUUUUGGACAAUGGGCGAAAGCCUGAUCCAAAUGCCGCGUGCAGGAAGAAGGCCUUCGGGUUGUAAACUGCUUUUGUCAGGGAAGAAAUUCUGGGUUAAUACCUCGGGAGGAUGACGGUACCUGAAGAAUAAGCACCGGCUAACUAUGCCAGCAGCCGCGGUAAUACGUAGGGUGCAAGCGUUAAUCGGAAUUACUGGGCGUAACGUGCGCAGGCGGCUUUGCAAGACAGAUGUGAAAUCCCCGGGCUUAACCUGGGAACUGUUUGUGACUGCAAAGCUAGAGUACAGCAGAGGGAGAUGGAAUUCCGCGUGUAGCAGUGAUGCGUAGAUAUGCGGAGGAACACCGAUGGCGAAGGCAAUCUCCUGGGCCUGUACUGACUCAUGCACGAAAGCGUGGGGAGCAAACAGGAUUAGAUACCCUGGUAGUCCACGCCCU
rnacentral:rRNA from 1 species